UACGUAGGGGGCAAGCGUUGUCCGGAUUUAUUGGGCGUAAAGGGCGCGUAGGCGGCUUUGUAAGUCGGGGGUGAAAGCCUGUGGCUCAACCACAGAAUUGCCUUCGAUACUGCAUGGCUUGAGACCGGAAGAGGUAAGUGGAACUGCGAGUGUAGAGGUGAAAUUCGUAGAUAUUCGCAAGAACACCAGUGGCGAAGGCGGGUCUCUGGACAGUUCCUGACACUGAGGCACGAAGGCCAGGGGAGCAAACGGG
rnacentral:rRNA from 1 species